rfam:Gossypium arboreum cultivar AKA8401 contig_25311_7, whole genome shotgun sequence.
AAGCCAUGGUGAGGGCACUUUCUCAAUAAAUCCUUGUAUCUCUCUCAUGCAUCAUAUAGUGGUUCUAAAUCCAUCUGCACAAAAGAAGAGAUAUCAUUCCUCAAUUU